rnacentral:rRNA from 1 species
GACGAACGCUGGCGGCGUGCUUAACACAUGCAAGUCGAGCGAUGAACCUUUCAUGAAUUUUUCGGAAUGAUCGGAAGAGGAUUAGCGGCGGACGGGUGAGUAACGCGUGAGCAACUUGCCUUAAACAACGGGAUAGCCUCGGGAAACCGGGAUUAAUACCGUAUGAGACCCCGCCUUCACCUGAAGAAGAGGUUAAAGAUUUAUCGGUUUAAGAUGGGCUCGCGUCUGAUUAGCUAGUUGGUGAGAUAAAAGCCCACCAAGGCAACGAUCAGUAACCGGCUUGAGAGAGUGAACGGUCACAUUGGAACUGAGACACGGCCCAGACUCCUACGGGAGGCAGCAGUGGGGAAUAUUGCGCAAUGGGGGAAACCCUGACGCAGCAACGCCGCGUGAGUGAAGAAGGUUUUCGGAUCGUAAAGCUCUGUCAAUUGGGAAGAAGGCCUAUGGGUAAAUAGCCUAUGGGAUGACGGUACCUAAGAAGGAAGCUCCGGCUAACUAUGUGCCAGCAGCCGCAGUAA